CCGGCAUCGGCCAACAGGGAGGACAGUGCCCCCACUAUGAGAUUUCGACGCCUGACUCCUGGCUACUUCCGGGUGCUACAGAUGCAGGUGGCUGGGGAGCUGAAGGCAGAGCCCCGGAGUCCCCUGGUUGGGAUUGUGGCUACAUUGUUGGCUGUCCUCGGGUUAGGUGGCUCCUGCUAUGCAGUAUGGAAGAUGGUGAAGCAGCGGCAACCAUCACAGGCCCCGUGAUGAGGCGGGUAGCCUCUCGCCCAGGCUUGGAGGUCCUUUAUUUUGGGCAGAACACCCGGAAGAGAGCAUCUCCGCAAACCGGAAAUCCAAAAUACACACUCUCAGCUUGGCUGAUGAACCACUGCCCAUGGGCAGUUCCUCUGCCCUGCAUCCUUAGGCCACUCAGGUGGACGUGUCCAUCUCAGGGAUAUCAGUGGACACUUCUGUGGGCACGCCCAGCCGCUGGGGUUGAACAUACGAGCCCAUGCCCGCUGCCCUCUCAGCUUCUUCCUGACUGUAGGGUUCGACACUCAGCUGCUUCAGCCUGGGAAAAAGAAGAGUUGGAGAUCGGAGCUCACCGAGUGCAAACCCUUCCUGCAUGGC
rnacentral:lncRNA from 1 species